rfam:Cavia porcellus supercont2_10 genomic scaffold, whole genome shotgun sequence.
GGGGAUUUAGCUCAGUGGCAUAAGCACCUGCCUUGCAAGCAGGCAGUCGUGCGUUCAAUCCCUG